rnacentral:rRNA from 1 species
UGGGGAAUUUUGGACAAUGGGCGAAAGCCUGAUCCAGCAAUGCCGCGUGUGUGAAGAAGGCCUUCGGGUUGUAAAGCACUUUUGUCCGGAAAGAAAUCCUUGGCUCUAAUACAGUCGGGGGAUGACGGUACCGGAAGAAUAAGCACCGGCUAACUACGUGCCAGCAGCCGCGGUAAUACGUAGGGUGCAAGCGUUAAUCGGAAUUACUGGGCGUAAAGCGUGCGCAGGCGGUUUGCUAAGACCGAUGUGAAAUCCCCGGGCUCAACCUGGGAACUGCAUUGGUGACUGGCAGGCUAGAGUAUGGCAGAGGGGGGUAGAAUUCCACGUGUAGCAGUGAAAUGCGUAGAGAUGUGGAGGAAUACCGAUGGCGAAGGCAGCCCCCUGGGCCAAUACUGACGCUCAUGCACGAAAGCGUGGGGAGCAAACAGGAUUAGAUACCCUGGUAGUCCACGCCCUAAAACGAUGGCAACUAGUUGUUGGGGAUUCAUUUUCCUUAGUAACGUAGCUAACGCGUGAAGUUGACCGCCUGGGGAGUACGGUCGCAAGAUUAAAACUUAAAUGAAUUGACGGGGUCAUAGCUGUUUCCU